rnacentral:rRNA from 1 species
GCAAGUCGAGCGGUAAGGCCCUUCGGGGUACACGAGCGGCGAACGGGUGAGUAACACGUGAGCAACCUGCCCCUGACUCUGGGAUAAGCGGUGGAAACGCCGUCUAAUACCGGAUACGACACACCGCCUCAUGGCGUGUGUGUGGAAAGUUUUAUCGGUCAGGGAUGGGCUCGCGGCCUAUCAGCUAGUUGGUGGGGUAAAGGCCUACCAAGGCGAUUACGGGUAGCCGGCCUGAGAGGGCGACCGGCCACACUGGGACUGAGACACGGCCCAGACUCCUGCGGGAGGCAGCAGUGGGGAAUAUUGCACAAUGGGCGAAAGCCUGAUGCAGCGACGCCGCGUGGGGGAUGACGGCCUUCGGGUUGUAAACCUCUUUUACCACCAACGCAGGCUCCACGUACUCGUGGGGUUGACGGUAGGUGGGGAAUAAGGACCGGCUAACUACGUGCCAGCAGCCGCGGUAAUACGUAGGGUCCGAGCGUUGUCCGGAAUUAUUGGGCGUAAAGAGCUCGUAGGCGGCGUGUCACGUCUGCUGUGAAAGACCGGGGCUUAACUCCGGUUCUGCAGUGGAUACGGGCAUGCUAGAGGUAGGUAGGGGAGACUGGAAUUCCUGGUGUAGCGGUGAAAUGCGCAGAUAUCAGGAGGAACACCGGUGGCGAAGGCGGGUCUCUGGGCCUUACCUGACGCUGAGGAGCGAAAGCAUGGGGGAGCGAACAGGAUUAGAUACCCUGGUAGUCCAUGCCGUAAACGUUGGGCGCUAGGUGUGGGGACUUUCCACGGUUUCCGCGCCGUAGCUAACGCAUUAAGCGCCCCGCCUGGGGAGUACGGCCGCAAGGCUAAAACCUCAAAGGAAUUGACGGGGGCCCGCACAAGCGGGCGGAGCAUUUUGCUUAAUUCGACGCAACGCGAAGAACCUUACCAAGGUUUGACAUCACCCGUGGACCUGUAGAGAUACAGGGUCAUUUAGUUGGUGGGUGACAGGUGGUGCAUGGCUGUCGUCAGCUCGUGUCGUGAGAUGUUGGGUUAAGUCCCGCAACGAGCGCAACCCUUGUUCCAUGUUGCCAGCACGUAAUGGUGGGGACUCAUGGGAGACUGCCGGGGUCAACUCGGAGGAAGGUGGGGACGACGUCAAGUCAUCAUGCCCCUUAUGUCUUGGGCUGCAAACAUGCUACAAUGGCCGGUACAAUGGGCGUGCGAUACCGCAAGGUGGAGCGAAUCCCUUAAAGCCGGUCUCAGUUCGGAUUGGGGUCUGCAACUCGACCCCAUGAAGGUGGAGUCGCUAGUAAUCGCGGAUCAGCAACGCCGCGGUGAAUACGUUCCCGGGCCUUGUACACACCGCCCGUCACGUCAUGAAAGUCGGCAACACCCGAAACUUGUGGCCUAACCCUUCGGGGAGGGAAUGAGUGAAGGUGGGGCUGGCGAU